rnacentral:rRNA from 1 species
UUGAUAACCGCUGAAAGCAUCUAAGCGGGAAGCGAGCCCUGAGAUGAGUCUUCCCUGACAGUUUAACUGUCCUAAAGGGUUGUUCGAGACUAGAACGUUGAUAGGCAGGGUGUGUAAGCGCUGUGAGGCGUUGAGCUAACCUGUACUAAUUGCCCGUGAGGCUUAACCAUACAACACCCAAAGGGUUUUG